GGGCCAUUCCAUUUAAUGUACACCCCCCCCCCCUGUGGACGAAGUCAAUAAAAUUUGAACCCCUAAGAAAAAAAGAUCAAAGUGCCGACACAAACACCCCUCCAGAAAUUAAGAAAUUUUUGCCUUACCCCUCGGAAAAAACGCAAAGAUCAAAGGAUGCCGAUGCACACAACCCUCAGAAACGGCUUUUUCAACCCCCCUCAGAAAUUUUCGUCCACAGGGGGGUGUGUAUAUUAAAUGGAAUGGCCC